rnacentral:rRNA from 1 species
CCUACCGUGGCUAUGACGGGUAACGGGGAAUUAGGGUUCGAUUCCGGAGAGGGAGCCUGAGAAACGGCUACCACAUCUAAGGAAGGCAGCAGGCGCGCAAAUUACCCAAUCCUAAUACAGGGAGGUAGUGACAAGAAAUAACAAUACAGAGCCUUACGGUUUUGUAAUUGGAAUGAGUUAAGUAUAAACCCCUUAACAAGUAUCAAUUGGAGGGCAAGUCUGGUGCCAGCAGCCGCGGUAAUUCCAGCUCCAAUAGCGUAUAUUAAAGUUGUUGCAGUUAAAAAGCUCGUAGUUAAUUUUCUGUUAAUUUUUAUAUACAAUGCUACGGUAUUUAUAUAAUAUUAACAUAAUUCAUAUUACUUUUUAAGUAUAUGAAACUUUACUUUGAGAAAAUUAGAGUGCUUAAAGCAGGCUAUUGCCUUGAAUACUCCAGCAUGGAAUAAUAUUAAGGAUUUUUAUUCUUCUUAUUGGUUCUAGAAUAAAAAUAAUGAUUAAUAGGGACAGUUGGGGGCAUUUGUAUUUAACAGUCAGAGGUGAAAUUCUUAGAUUUGUUAAAGACAAACUACUGCGAAAGCAUUUGCCAAGGAUGUUUUCAUUAAUCAAGAACGAAAGUUAGGGGAUCGAAGACGAUCAGAUACCGUCGUAGUCUUAACCAUAAACUAUGCCAACUAGAGAUUGGAGGUU